UAGGGAAUCUUCCGCAAUGGGCGAAAGCCUGACGGAGCAACGCCGCGUGAGUGAUGAAGGUCUUCGGAUCGUAAAACUCUGUUAUUAGGGAAGAACAAAUGUGUAAGUAACUAUGCACGUCUUGACGGUAUCUAAUCAGAAAGCCACGGCUAACUACGUGCCAGCAGCCGCGGUAAUACGUAGGUGGCAAGCGUUAUCCGGAAUUAUUGGGCGUAAAGCGCGCGUAGGCGGUUUUUUAAGUCUGAUGUGAAAGCCCACGGCUCAACCGUGGAGGGUCAUUGGAAACUGGAAAACUUGAGUGCAGAAGAGGAAAGUGGAAUUCCAUGUGUAGCGGUGAAAUGCGCAGAGAUAUGGAGGAACACCAGUGGCGAAGGCGACUUUCUGGUAUGUAACUGACGCUGAUGUGCGAAAGCGUGGGGAUCAAACAGG
rnacentral:rRNA from 1 species